ACACGGACGCGCAUGAAAUUUGGUGCCGUGACUCGGAUCGGGGGACCUCCCUGGGGAGAUCAAUCCCCUGUCCUCCUGCUCUUUGCUCCGUGAGAAAGAUCCACCUAGGACCUCAGGUCCUCAGACCGACCAGCCCAAGAAACAUCUCACCAAUUUCAAAUCCGGUAAGCAGCCUCUUUUUACUCUCUUCUCCAACCUCCUUCACUAUCCCUCAACCUCUUUCUCCUUUCAAUCUUGGUGCCGCACUUCAAUCUCUCUCUUCUCUUAAUUUCAAUUCCUUUCAUUUUCUGGUAGAGACAAAGGAGACACGUUUUAUCCAUGGACCCAAAACUCCGGCACCGGUCACGGACUGGGAAGGCAGCCUUCCCUUGGUGUUUAAUCAUUGCAGGGAUGCCUCUCUGAUUAUACACUCACAUUUCAAGGGUGUCAGACCACGCAGGGACGCCUGCCUUAGUCCUUCACCCUUAGCGGCAAGUCCCGCUUUCCUGGGGAAGGGGCAAAUACCCCUCAACCCCUUCUCUCCUUGUCUCUACCCCUUCUGUGCUUUUCUGGGGCAGGGGCAAAUACCCCUCAACCCCCUCUCCUUCACCCUUAGCGGCAAGCCCUGCUUUCCUGGGGCAGGGGCAAGUACCCCUCAACCCCUUCUCCUUCACCCUUAGCAGCAAGUCCUGCUUUCCUAGGCAGCAAGAACCCCCCAAUCGCUUAUUUCCACGCCCCAAGCUCUUAUCUCUGUGCCCCAAUCCCUUAUUUCCGCACCCUGACCUCUUAUCUCUGUGCCCCAAUCCCUUAUUUCUGUGCCCCAACUCCUUCUCUGCUUUUCUGGAGGGCAAGAACCCCCCACCCCUUCUCCGUGUCUCUACUCUUUUCUCUGGGCUUGCCUCCUUCACUAUGGGUAAGCUUCCACCUUCCAUUCCUCCUUCUUCUCCCUUAGCCUAUAUUCUUAAGAACUUAAAACCUCUUCAACUCACACCUGACCUAAAACCUAAAUGCCUUAUUUUCUUCUGCAAUGCCGCUUGACCCCAAUACAAACUCGACAGUAGUUCUAAAUAGCCAGAAAAUGGCACUUUGAAUUUUUCCAUCCUGCAAAAUCUAAAUAAUUCUUGUCGUAAAAUAGGCAAACGGUCUGAGGUGCCUGAUGUCCAGGCAUUCUUUUACACAUCAGUCCCUUCCUAGUCUCUGUGCCCACUGCAACUCAUCCCAAAUCUUCCUUCUUUCCCUCCCACCUGUCCCCUCAGUACCAACCCCAAGCGUCUCUGAGUCUUUCUCAUCUUCCUUUUCUAUAGACCCAUCUGACCUCUCCCUUCCUCCCCAGGCUGCUCCUCGCCAGGCUGAGCUAGGUCCCAAUUCUUCCUCAGCCUCCGCUCCUCCACCCAAUAAUCCUUUUAUCACCUCCCCUCCUCACACCUGGUCCUGCUUACAGUUUCGUCCUGUGACUAGCCCUCCCCCACCUGCCCAGCAAUUUACUCUUAAAAAGGUGGCUGGAGCUAAAGGCAGAAUUACUCAAUCUGCUCCCGACAUUAAAUAAAACUCCAAAAACUGGAAUCUGGCCCUCAAACCCCACAACAGGACUUAAUUAACCUCACCUUCAAGGUGUGCAAUAACAUAAAAAAGUUGCAACUCCUUGCCUCCACUGUGAGACAAACCCCAGCCACAUCUCCAGCACACAAGAACUUCCAAAUGCCUGAACUGCAGUGGCCAGGCAUUCCUCCAGAACCUCCUCCCCUAGGAGCUUGCUACACGUGCCAGAAAUCUGGCCACUGGGCCAAGGAAUGCCUGCAGCCCAGGAUUCCUCCUAAGCUGCAUCCCAUCUGUGUGGGACCCCACUGAAAAUCGGACUGUUCAACUCACCUGGCAGCCACUCCCAGAGCCCCUGGAACUCUGGCCCAAGGCUCUCUGACUGACUCCUUCCCAGAUCUUCUCGGCUUAGCAGCUGAAGACUGACACUGCUCGAUUGCCUCGGAAGCCCCCUAGACCAUCACGGACGCCGAGCUUUAGGUAACUUUCACAGUGGAGGGUAAGUCUGUCCCUUAAAACUCCCCAACUCUGGCGCCAACUUAGACAAUACUCUUUUAUGCACUCUUUUUUAGUUAUCCCCAUCUGCCCAGUUCCCUUAUUAGGCUGAGAUAUUUUAACCAAAUUAUCUGCUUCCCUGACUAUUCCUGCACUAUAGCCGCAUCUCAUUGCUGCCCUUCUUCCCAAUCCAAAGCCUCCUUUGCGUCCUCCUCUUGUAUUCCCCCACCUUAACCCAGAAGUAUAAGAUACCUCUACUCCCUCCUUGGCGACCGAUCACGCACCCCUUACCAUCUCAUUAAAACCUAAUCACCCUUACGCCGCUCAACACCAAUAUCCCAUCCCACAGCAUGCUUUAAAAGGAUUAAAGCCUGUUAUCACUCACCUGCUACAGCAUGGGCUUCUAAAACCUAUAAACUCUCUUUGCCAUUCCCCCAUUUUACCUGUCCUAAAACCAGACAAGCCUUACAAGUUAGUUCAGAAUCUGCGCUUUAUCAACCAAAUUGUUUUGCCUAUCCACCCCAUGGUGCCAAACCCAUAUACUCUCCUAUCCUCAAUAGCUCCCUCUACUACCCAUUAUUCUGUUCUGGAUCUCAAACCUGCUUUCUUUACUAUUCCUUUGCACCCUUCAUCCCAGCCUCUCUUUGUCUUCACUUAGACUGACCCUGACACCCAUUAGGCUCAGCAAAUUACCUGGGCUGUACUGACGCAAGGCUUCACAGACAGCCCCCAUUACUUCAGUCAAGCCCAAAUUUCAUCCUCAUCUGUUACCUAUUCGGCAUAAUUCUCAUAAAAACACACGUGCUCUCCCUGCUGAUCGUGUCCGAUUAAUCUCCCAAACCUCAAUCCCUUACAAAAGAAUAACUGCUUUCCUUCCUAGGCAUGGUUAGUGUGGUCAGAAUUCUUACACAAGAGCCAGGACCACACUGUGUAGCCUUUCUGUCCAAACAACUUGACCUUACUGUUUUAGCCUAGCCCUCAUGUCUGCGUGCAGCGGCUGCCACUGCUUUAAUACUGUUAGAGGCCCUAAAAAUCACAAACUAUGCUCAACUCACUCUCUACAUUUCCCAUAACUUCCAAAAUCUAUUUUCUUCAGAAUUCAGGCCUGUCCUCAGAAUGCUACAAGGUACAGCCAAUUUAAGCUCCUGUAUAGACGUUCCUUUUUAUUAGGCCCCAGUCUCAUUCAACACCAGACCAACUUAGACUGUGCCCCAAAAAAACUUGUCAUCCCUACCAUCUUUUGUCUAGUCAUACUCCUAUUCACCGUUCUCAACUACUCAUACAUGCCCUGCUCUUGUUUACACUGCCGGUUUACACUGUUUCUCCAAGCCAUCACAGCUGAUAUCUCCUGGUGCUAUCCCCAAACUGCCACUCUAAACUCUUGAAGUAAAUAAAUAAUCUUUACUGGUAGGACUAUGCUGAAUCUCCUCAGGCACUAUACCUGUUUUUCUCCUUCUGUUAUUCCAUUUAGUUUUUCAAUUCAUACAAAACCGUAUCCAGGCCAUCACCAAUCAUUCUAUACAACAAAUGUUUCUUCUAACAUCCCCACGAUAUCACCCCUUACCACAAGAUCUCCUUUCAGCUUAAUCUCUCCCACUCUAGGUUCCCACACCGCCCCUAAUCCCGCUCGAAGCAGCCCUGAGAAACAUCGUCCACUCUCUCUCCAUACCACCCCCCAAAAAUUUUCGCCGCCCCAACACUUCAACACUAUUUUGUUUUAUUUCUCUUAUUAAUAUAAGAAGGCAGAAAUGUCAGGCCUCUGAGCCCAAGUCAAGCCAUCGCAUCCCCUGUGACUUGCACGUAUAAGCCCAGAUGGCCUGAAGUAACUGAAGAAUCACAAAAGAAGUGAAUAUGCCCUGCCCCACCUUAACUGAUGACAUUCCACCACAACAGAAGUGUAAAUGCCAGUCCUUGCCUUAACUGAUGACGUUACCUUGUGAAAUUCCUUCUCCUGGCUCAUCCUGGCUCAAAAAGCACCCCCACUGAGCACCUUGCG
rnacentral:lncRNA from 1 species